UACGGGGGGGGGCAAGCGUUGUUCGGAAUUACUGGGCGUAAAGGGCUCGUAGGCGGCCAACUAAGUCGGACGUGAAAUCCCUCGGCUUAACCGGGGAACGGCGUCCGAUACUGGAUGGCUUGAGUUUGGGAGAGGGAUGCGGAAUUCCAGGUGUAGCGGUGAAAUGCGUAGAUAUCUGGAGGAACACCGGUGGCGAAGGCGGCAUCCUGGACCAAAACUGACGCUGAACAGCGAAAGCCAGGGGAGCAAACGGG
rnacentral:rRNA from 1 species